UUACGGAGUAGCAAUAUUCUGUGGCAGGAGUGGCGGAAGGGUGCGUAACAUGUGGGUAAUCUGCCGUGAAGGCUGGGAUAACUUGCUGAAAGGCGAGCUAAUACCGGAUGAGACAACCGAGAGGCAGCUUUUGGUUAUGAAAGUUGGGGACUGUCAAAGGCCUGACGCUUCACGAUGAGCCCGCAACCUAUCAGCUAGUUGGUGAGGUAAAGGCUCACCAAGGCUAAGACGGGUAGCUGGUCUGAGAGGACGACCAGCCACACUGGAACUGAGAGACGGUCCAGACACCUACGGGUGGCAGCAGUCGAGAAUUUUUCACAAUGGGCGCAAGCCUGAUGGAGCGACGCCGCGUGGGGGAUGAAGGGCUUCGGUCCGUAAACCCCUGUCAUUUGCGAACAAAGCUGCUGGCCUAAUACGCUAGCAGUUGAUAGUAGCAAAAGAGGAAGGGACGGCUAACUCUGUGCCAGCAGCCGCGGUAAUACAGAGGUCCCAAGCGUUGUUCGGAUUUACUGGGCGUAAAGGGUGCGUAGGUGGCGGGGUAAGUCUGGUGUGAAAUCUCCGAGCUCAACUCGGAAAAGCAUUGGAAACUAUCCCGCUAGAGGGUCGGAGGGGAGACUGGAAUUCUCGGUGUAGCAGUGAAAUGCGUAGAUAUCGAGAGGAACACCAGUGGCGAAGGCGAGUCUCUGGACGACUCCUGACACUGAGGCACGAAAGCUAGGGGAGCAAACAGGAUUAGAUACCCUGGUAGUCCUAGCUGUAAACGGUGCACAUUUGCUGUAAGAGGAAUCGACCCCUUUUGUGGCGAAGCUAACGCGUUAAAUGUG
rnacentral:rRNA from 1 species